UUGUUAAAGCACUUUCAGUCGUGAGGAAGGUAGUGUAGUUAAUAGCUGCAUUAUUUGACGUUAGCGACAGAAGAGGCACCGGCUAACUCCGUGCCAGCAGCCGCGGUAAUACGGAGGGUGCGAGCGUUAAUCGGAAUUACUGGGCGUAAAGCGCAUGCAGGUGGUUUGGUUUAAGUUCAGAUGUGAAAGACCCGGGGCGUCAACCUCGGAAUAGCAUUUGUAAACUAGGCAGACUAGAGUACUGUAGAGGGGGGUAGGAAGUUUCAGGUGUAGCGGUGAAAUGCGUAGAGAUCUGAAGGAAUACCGGUGGCGAAGGCGGCCCCCCUCGGACAGAUACUGACACUCAGAUGCGAAAGCGUGGGGAGCAAACAGGAUUAGAUACCCCUGGUAG
rnacentral:rRNA from 1 species